rnacentral:lncRNA from 1 species
AAUGAUCAGUGAUGUUGAGUUUUUUACAUAUAAUUUUUGGCCACCUGUAUGUCUUCUUUUGAGAAGUGUCUUUUAAUUAGGUCCCAUUUGUCAAGUUUUGCAUUUGCCACAGUUGCUUUUUUUUUUUUUUUUUUUUUUUUUUGAGAUAAUCUAAGAAAAUAAAUAUCUAAUAAAACAAAUAAAACAACAAUAAUGAAAUGGAGAUGGAG